GGGGGCGAAAUGGUUUCGACGGGGAUCGCGGAAGUGGGAUCAGCGAGCCGAAGCCCCGUGCUUCGUUAAAAACGGGAACUGUCUAAAAUAACUGACAACAAUCACACUCAACUCGCAGCUGCAUAAACGCAGCUACGCGUCCGCCCGAAGAAACUUACCGCUUCGGAACCGGGCGUCAUCAGGGUAGGGAACGAACCUGCGUAAGCUUUGCCGCAGGCCGGACUUCAUGAAGCUACCGUAACGCGGAGCCUGUCGGAGGGCGCCGCGCGAGGGGAAUCCCAAAACACCGACUGCGCUCGGAGAAGAUCCUGCCAACGGAUUUUCGGACGGGAGUUCGACUCUCCCCGCCUCCACCA
rnacentral:tmRNA from 1 species